ACUCAAUGUUCCUAUAAUCAGAAAUAUUUAAGAUUAGAGUUUCAGAAUUUUAAAUCUCAUAGACAUGACCCAUUCAUAUCUCUUAAAAUUAUUAUCCUAAUAUUUGAGAUUCAUCAUAAUUUUUAAUAUAAAAGAUGCAACUGAAAUGAUGAAUCACAAUGCCUCAUUUAAUUCAUAUCAAAAUAAAUGUCAUUACAUG
rnacentral:lncRNA from 1 species